rnacentral:lncRNA from 1 species
CUUCUAGUUUGAUUUCCUUUUGGGUAUCCGUGACACAUGCCAGGUAAGCCGCGCACCCCUUUCUGAGUGCUCUAAUGGCUCGCAAGGAAGAAAUAAAAUGCAGUGUCGGCUUACAUUGAGGGGGCGUAUCGUUAUUCUGAAAGAAGAAUUCUGGUUCCCCUGGCAUCCGGAAUACCACUUUCUUAUGGUAACAAUCAAUGUGGGCAUGAUACUGGGACAUCCAGUCCAUCCCCAAGAUGAUGUCAAAAUCAUGCAUGUCCAGCUGUAGAAGAUUUGCUUCUAAUUCUUUUCCUCCCAACUGAAUUAUGCAGUUCUUGUAUUUGGUGUCAACUAUCACUGUCUCUUGAAGGGGUGUGGCAACAUGCAAUGGUUCUAUUUUCUCAGAUGUGCAGUGCAACUAUUUGGAAAAACUAACUGACACGAAGGAAUGUGUGGAACCAGAAUCAAAUAGAAUAGAAGCAUCAAUCAAAUUAACUGGCAGUGUACCUG